rnacentral:rRNA from 1 species
GAUGAACGCUGGCGGCGUGCCUAAUACAUGCAAGUCGAGCGAACGGACGAGAAGCUUGCUUUUCUGAUGUUAGCGGCGGACGGGUGAGUAACACGUGGAUAACCUACCUAUAAGACUGGGAUAACUUCGGGAAACCGGAGCUAAUACCGGAUAAUAUUUUGAACCGCAUGGUUCAAAAGUGAAAGACGGUCUUGCUGUCACUUAUAGAUGGAUCCGCGCUGCAUUAGCUAGUUGGUAAGGUAACGGCUUACCAAGGCAACGAUGCAUAGCCGACCUGAGAGGGUGAUCCGCCACACUGUAACUGAGACACGGUCCCGACUCCUACGGGAGGCAGCAGUAGGGAAUCUUCCGCAAUGGGCGAAAGCCUGACGGAGCAACGCCGCGUGAGUGAUGAAGGUCUUCGGAUCGUAAAACUCUGUUAUUAGGGAAGAACAUAUGUGUAAGUAACUGUGCACAUCUUGACGGUACCUAAUCAGAAAGCCACGGCUAACUACGUG